UUUCGUUUUGGUUGUUCACGAAAACCAGGUGUGAAAACGCUUAGUGGUGAAAUUUAUUCUGAAUCAAACGGACCUCGCCACUAGAUAAAAACUUGUAUGCAGUGUGAAAAUACCGAGACUUUGGAAGCACGUGGAAUAUUUUUUUUAUAAUGGUUACAGAGUACUAUGUAUGGGUAGCGUGGCCGAGCGGUCUAAGGCGCUGGAUUAAGGCUCCAGUCUCUUCGGGGGCGUGGGUUCGAAUCCCACCGCUGCCAAUAAUUUUGAAUGCAUGACAUUGACUUGGUAAAAAAUGAAGCAUUGCAGUACUGAGAACAUUUCAAAACCAUUUACCGCUCUCGUAAAAAAUACACAAGUCUGGGUGUAUUCAUGUGGAUAUUCCAACACAGACGAAGUGUUUUCUCGUACUGAUUAAAUAUCGAAUCAGACGGAAAUAUAUCAUUAUUCAGCGUACGAAAAUAAAUCGAUAAAUACAUAAAACAAAUUUCUGUUCCAAGUAUAUUGCAGUUCAAUGUCACUUUAAACAGCUGCAACAGACGAAUAUAGAAUGUGUGAUAGUCAAUUAAAGCUACUUGCGGUGAGAAAUUAACUUUCAUGUGGUUUGAGCGGUCUCUAGUGGUGUGUUUCACAAACGACAAUAGUGCAACCUAUGCAAGUAAAUCUUCUGCAAGUAGAAACAAAAGCUCAGUGCUGUUAAUGAACGCUUAAUUUUAUUUUAAUCUAUAAAAUAAUUUAAUUUAAUAAUUUUCAUUUAUCUUAAUUUUAUUAAUUUCAUCUUCAAUAUAUAUCUUGAAAAACAGAAGGGCCCAUAGGGACCUUUUGCAAACCGUGCAAAGUGCAAACGCAUUUCAGUCUCGUGUGUUUUUACCCUUUUUGUGACUCGUAAUUUGAUUCGGGUACUACAGGGGCCCUGUCCCAAACGGCACCAUAAACCCUCGCGGUCUUUCUCUAAAUCCGCUAAAUCCGCACUUUCGUGACUGUCGGGUAGAAGUCUGUUUGCGGAGCACGCCCCAGUGAGCCAGAUCGAGGGCGCAUGACUCGUAAGGGGGCGCUCGCGAGCAGCCUUCUGAACGCUAAAAUGACAAAUGGAACACUCUACGGACUUCUUGUGACUAACGGACUUUUACGGAAGUUUAUAAAGUUAAUUUUCAUCUACUUUAUUAUGAAUCAUUCUGUUUGAUUGCUGCCGUGAAGCACUGCAUCAACGAAGCUGUGUGAACAAAGUGAACGAAUUUGGCGAUGUCCUACAGCUUUAUCUUGUAACGUUAAUUAUAUGGUGUGGAAGUUAUCGGUGCCAGUUUGAAUGUACUCUGACCCUCCACAUCCCUUCAUACAAACAACCCGCUUUCUCCAGUCUACCCUCUGUUGAAACCCCAUGUCGGCCUUCUACCUCAGGCAUGAGCCCAAAUUCCAGCAUUUCUACUCCUUCUGUUGUGCAUAUAAAGUAUUCAUUGUUAUAUCUAAUAAAUAUUUGUAAAAUUCAGAA